GUGGCGUUAAACUAAUUAAACCGAGUAUGUAAAAUAGGUUAGUAAUAGGGUGUCUCAUCGCUUGUACUUAAAUGAUUCCGUUUUCUGCUUAUCCCUAUGGAACCCUAAAGCUACUGCGUUUUAAGCAACAUUAUCGUUAUCAUAAUACAUGUAAGUACUUUAUGCCGGGUAUAUAAAGACCGGUAACUUAGCUCAACUUCAGUGUUCAAUACUAAGGCAUUAAGUACGCAUCUUUCUUUCUUUCUAUCUUUGACAUCAUGCUGUGGUCGAGGCUAUUCUUUGUAUUUCUGAUGUUGGCUGUGGGUCUGACUUGGGCGGCUCCGGGAGAAAUAUCAGACCCCUUGUGUCCUGGUGGAAAACCUCCAACUGCGGGCGGCGUUUGUCCACCGACAACACCUUUCCCCAAAAUUUAUGACGAUUAUUUUGACGAAGAUGAUAAAUAAACACUAACAACAACCGAUAUCCUGAUAACAACGAAGAACAAUUCAAUAACUUGUAAAAACGUAUCAUCUCAACUUGUCAAUAAAUUGUCAUGUUGCGGUA